ACUACAUGAAGCUGGAAUCGCUAGUAAUCGCGAAUCAGAAUGUCGCGGUGAAUACGUUCCCGGGUCUUGUACACACCGCCCGUCACACCAUGGGAGUCAGUAACGCCCGAAGUCAGUGACCCAACCUUAUGGAGGGAGCUGCCGAAGGCGGGACCGAUAACUGGGGUGAAGUCGUAACAAGGUACC
rnacentral:rRNA from 1 species